AUUGAACGCUGGCGGCAUGCCUUACACAUGCAAGUCGAACGGUAACGGGCCUUCGGGUGCCGACGAGUGGCGCACGGGCGGGUAAUACAUCGGAACGUGCCCGAUCGUGGGGGAUAACGUGGCGAAAGCUUUGCUAAUACCGCAUACGAUCUACGGAUGAAAGCAGGGGACCGCAAGGCCUUGCGCGGACGGAGCGGCCGAUGGCAGAUUAGGUAGUUGGUGGGAUAAAAGCUUACCAAGCCGACGAUCUGUAGCUGGUCUGAGAGGCUGAUCAGCCACACUGGGACUGAGACACGGCCCAGACUCCUACGGGAGGCAGCAGUGGGGAAUUUUGGACAAUGGGCGCAAGCCUGAUCCAGCCAUGCCGCGUGCAGGAUGAAGGCCUUCGGGUUGUAAACUGCUUUUGUACGGAACGAAAAGCCUUCUUUUAAUACAGGAGGGUCAUGACGGUACCGUAAGAAUAAGCACCGGCUAACUACGUG
rnacentral:rRNA from 1 species